GACGAACGCUGGCGGCGUGCCUAAUACAUGCAAGUCGAACGAAACGACACUAGGUGCUUGCUCUUGGUGAAGGCGAGUGGCGAACGGGUGAGUAACACGUGGGUAACUUAUUUUUCAGUGGGGGUUAACAGUCGGAACUGACUGCUAUUACCGCUUCGGCCAUAGGGUCACAUGAUUGUGUGUGGGAAGGUGGCGCAAGCUAUCGCGCCGAGAUCGAACCGCGGUGCAUUAGCUAGUUGGUAGGGUAAAGGCCUACCAAGGCGAUGAUGCAUAGCCGACCUGAGAGGGUGAUCGGCCACAUUGGAACUGAGACACGGCCCAAACUCCUACGGGAGGCAGCAGUAGGGAAUCUUCCGCAAUGGACGCAAGUCUGACGGAGCAACGCCGCGUGAGUGAAGAAGGUCUUCGGAUCGUAAAGCUCUGUUGUUAGGGAAGAACAGCACAUAGUGUAACUGUUAUGGGUGUGACGGUAUCUAAACAGAAAGCCACGGCUAACUACGUG
rnacentral:rRNA from 1 species